GAUGAACGCUGGCGGCGUGCCUAAUACAUGCAAGUCGAGCGAACGGACGAGAAGCUUGCUUCUCUGAUGUUAGCGGCGGACGCGUGAGUAACACGUGGAUAACCUACCUAUAAGACUGGGAUAACUUCGGGAAACCGUAGCUAAUACCGGAUAAUAUUUUGAACCGCAUGGUUCAAAAGUGAAAGACGGUCUUGCUGUCACUUAUAGAUGGAUCCGCGCUGCAUUAGCUAGUUGGUAAGGUAACGGCUUACCAAGGCAACGAUGCAUAGCCGACCUGAGAGGGUGAUCGGCCACACUGGAACUGAGACACGGUCCAGACUCCUACGGGAGGCAGCAGUAGGGAAUCUUCCGCAAAGGGCGAAAGCCUGACGGAGCAACGCCGCGUGAGUGAUGAAGGUCUUCGGAUCGUAAAACUCUGUUAUUAGGGAAGAACAUAUGUGUAAGUAACUGUGCACAUCUUGACGGUACCUAAUCAGAAAGCCACGGCUAACUACGUG
rnacentral:rRNA from 1 species